rnacentral:rRNA from 1 species
UUUCGCAAUGCCCGAAAGGGUGACGAAGCGACGCCGCGUGCGGGAAGAAGGCCUUCGGGUUGUAAACCGCUGUCGGGAGUUAAGAAGUGCAGGGAUGUUAAUAGCAUCCUUGCUUGACUAAGGCUCCGGAGGAAGCCACGGCUAACUCUGUGCCAGCAGCCGCGGUAAUACAGAGGCGGCAAGCGUUGUUCGGAAUUAUUGGGCGUAAAGAGCACGUAGGCGGCCGUGUAAGUCGGUUGUGAGAGCCUUCCGCUCAACGGAAGGACGGCAUCCGAUACUGCAUGGCUCGAGUGCGGGAGGGGAGAGUGGAACUUCUGGUGGAGCGGUGAAAUGCGUAGAUAUCAGAAGGAACACCGGCGGCGAAGGCGACUCUCUGGUCCGUAACUGACGCUGAGUGUGCGAAAGCUAGGGGAGCAAACGGGAUUAGAUACCCCGGUAGUCCUAGCCGUAAACGAUGGGCACUAAGUAGAGGGGUUUU